rnacentral:rRNA from 1 species
GUGGGGAAUAUUGGACAAUGGGCGCAAGCCUGAUCCAGCCAUACCGCGUGGGUGAAGAAGGCCUUCGGGUUGUAAAGCCCUUUUGUUGGGAAAGAAAUCCUGUCGGUUAAUACCUGGCGGGGAUGACGGUACCCAAAGAAUAAGCACCGGCUCACUUCGUGCCAGCAGCCGCGGUAAUACGAAGGGUGCAAGCGUUACUCGGAAUUACUGGGCGUAAAGCGUGCAUAGGUGGUGGUUUAAGUCCGUUGUGAAAGCCCUGGGCUCAACCUGGAAAUUGCGGUGGAUACGGGAUGACUAGAGUGUGGUAGAGGGAUGCGGAAUUUCUGGUGUAGCAGUGAAGUGCGUAGAGAUCAGAAGGAACAUCCGUGGCGAAGGCGGCAUCCUGGGCCAACACUGACACUGAGGCACGAAAGCGUGGGGAGCAAACAGGAUUAGAAACCCCAGUAGUCC